rnacentral:rRNA from 1 species
GAUCCUGGCUCAGGAUGAACGCUAGCUACAGGCUUAACACAUGCAAGUCGAGGGGCAGCAUUGGAGUAGCAAUACUCAGAUGGCGACCGGCGCACGGGUGAGUAACACGUAUCCAACCUGCCGCUUACUCGGGGAUAGCCUUUCGAAAGAAAGAUUAAUACCCGAUGGUAUAAAGAGUUCGCAUGUUCUCUUUAUUAAAGAAUUUCGGUAAGCGAUGGGGAUGCGUUCCAUUAGAUUGUUGGCGGGGUAACGGCCCACCAAGUCUACGAUGGAUAGGGGUUCUGAGAGGAAGGUCCCCCACAUUGGAACUGAGACACGGUCCAAACUCCUACGGGAGGCAGCAGUGAGGAAUAUUGGUCAAUGGACGAGAGUCUGAACCAGCCAAAAGUAGCGUGAAGGAUGACUGCCCUAUGGGUUGUAAACUUCUUUUAUAAGGGAAUAAAGUGAGGGACGUGUCCCUUUUUGUAUGUACCUUAUGAAUAAGGAUCGGCUAACUCCGUGCCAGCCGCAGC